UGGGGAAUAUUGCACAAUGGGCGCAAGCCUGAUGCAGCAACGCCGCGUGAGGGACGACGGCCUUCGGGUUGUAAACCUCUUUUGGCAGGGAAGAAGCGAAAGUGACGGUACCUGCAGAAAAAGCACCGGCUAACUACGUGCCAGCGGCCGCGGUGAUACGUAGGGUGCAAGCGUUGUCCGGAAUUAUUGGGCGUAAAGAGCUCGUAGGCGGUUUGUCGCGUCUGCUGUGAAAACCCGAGGCUCAACCUCGGGCCUGCAGUGGGUACGGGCAAACUAGAGUGCGGUAGGGGAGAUUGGAAUUCCUGGUGUAGCGGUGGAAUGCGCAGAUAUCAGGAGGAACACCGAUGGCGAAGGCAGAUCUCUGGGCCGUAACUGACGCUGAGGAGCGAAAGCAUGGGGAGCGAACA
rnacentral:rRNA from 1 species